rnacentral:rRNA from 1 species
UACGUAGGGGGCAAGCGUUGUCCGGAUUUAUUGGGCGUAAAGAGCGUGUAGGCGGCCAGGUAGGUCUGCUGUGAAAACUCGAGGCUCAACCUCGAGACGUCGGCGGAAACCAUCUGGCUAGAGUCCGGAAGAGGAGAGUGGAAUUCCUGGUGUAGCGGUGAAAUGCGCAGAUAUCAGAAAGAACACCCGUGGCGAAGGCGGCUCUCUGGGACGGUACUGACGCUGAGACGCGAAAGCGUGGGGAGCGAACAGG